rnacentral:lncRNA from 1 species
AACCCACCAUACAAUAAAAUUUGCAACAGCAUGACAUGGCAAUUUUAUCAUUAUCCAGCCUAUCAAGGCAAACAACAAUUUAUACAUUUCAACACAAAUACCAAUUCAGCCAUUCAUACCAAUAUUGUCAUAAGCUAAUCAAUUAGAACCAUAAAUUCAUAAUACAUCAUAUGGUCUUCAAUUACUCUAUUUUCAAAGCCAUUAUUCAAUUUUAAAACAAUUUUAUGGAAUCAUUUCAUUAAAUCACAUUUGGUUUAUAAAAUCAAAAAAUUAAUCAUUUAAUUCAUUUUUCAAGAAAUUCACAAAAUCAGAUAAAAAUCACUUUAGAUAAUUAAGACGAUAGUAAGGUUACUCACAGUACUAGGAGUUCGAUAUACUCCUAUUCCUAGUCUUCGGGCACAAUCUCUUUACCCUUGUUAGAGAGCUCACCACCUAUACAUCAUACGUGACACGAAUUUCAAUAAAUUGUGUCCAUUUAUCAUAAACUAUUUCAAGCUCUAUAAAUCUAUAUGAAUGCAUGAAAUGUGAUGCAAAAUGUUCGAAUAGUCGUUUAAAUACGGUAUUUGACCUAAUUCGCACUGUUCUCUGUGUAAUUGGCUAAAACCUCCAAUUUAACUCCAAAUCGAUUUCUUUCACUUUCUAGACUCCAAUUAAACCUCAAUGACUGUGAAUAUGAUUCAAUUUAUCAGUCCAAACCAUAAAUCGCAUAUGUCUAUACAUUAGGUAAAAAUUCAUAUUUUCAUGCCAAAAUUUCUCAUUAAGUUUCUAGCCUCACCAAUCAUUAAAUACCACCAAAAUAUCAUGAAAUAUCAUCAAUUUCAGCCUCAAUAUCCUCCCUAAAAAAUUUGGCCUCUUCUAGGUUUGUGAAGAACAAAGUGAUUCCUUGCUAGAUUUUCAUACUUUCCAUUACCAAACAACCAAAAACACUUAAUUAGCUUGAAAUCUAGCAAAAUCAAUGCUUAAAACCUCUCCUCUCAAAUUUGGCCAGCAUGGGUUCAUCAUGCAAACUUGAGUUCUAAGCAUGGAAAAUGAAAAAGAAAGCAUGGGUAGUGUAAAUCACAAAAUCUUACCUUUAUUAGCUUAAUCCCUUGAAAUCCCACACUUUUUCUUCAAUUUUCCCACCUAGGGUUUGUGUUCUUUCCUUUCCUCUUCACUUC